GACGAACGCUGGCGGCGUGCCUAACACAUGCAAGUCAACUUGACUGAAGGAGCAAUCUGACAGUAGAGUGGCGCAAGGGUGCGUAACGCGUAAGUAACUUGCCCAAGGUAAGGAAUAACGUCGAGAAAUCGGCGCUAAUACCUCAUAAUGCAGCGGAUCCGCAUGGAUAUGUUGUUAAAGGUUUACCGCCUUGGGAUAGGCUUGCGUCUGGUUAGCUAGUUGGUGUGGUAACGGCACACCAAGGCUACGAUCAGUAACUGGUCUGAGAGGAUGAUCAGUCACACUGGAACUGAGACACGGUCCAGACUCCUACGGGAGGCAGCAGUGAGGAAUAUUGGGCAAUGCUCGAAAGAGUGACCCAGCAACGCCGCGUGGAGGAUGAAGGUAUUCUAUAUCGUAAACUCCUGUGAGAGCAGACGAAAGACAGAUUAUUAAUCUGGAUGACUGUAUGCUCAGAGGAAGCCCCGGCUAACUACGUG
rnacentral:rRNA from 1 species